ensembl:lincRNA
AGGCAGAGAUGCAACCAUGGAAUCUUUAAUAAAAUUUUCUAACACUUCAUGCACCUGACCAGUGUCACAAAGACCGUGCUUCCGAGGGCAGUGAGGACGCCCAACGUCACAGAGCAUGGAGCCAGCACUUUCGUUCAGCAGCACGCUAAAUCACACCCGGGCACAAGUGGAGCAUUCAUCAGGAACCACGAGUCCCUCUUUCAGUCUGCCAAACCUAUCCAAUUACUGGGGCUGGAAGAGCCUGCACAAACCCUUCUGCCAGGUACUAUGAUCAUCCCUAAUUAUUUCGUCCACUUCAACUCUCCCCAGCUCUGAAAGUUCCUUAAUUCCUGGAUGUGACUUCCAAUUAAUUUUGACCCAGGCAGUAUAUUCUACAAUGCUUGACUUCAGGGCUACGCUUUCCAGAAAGACCUCAAAUCAGACUUUCAGCUAACUCCCUUGUGGAGAAGGUAGGUCCCAAACAAAACGCAUGAGAACCAAAGUGGCCAAGAUCUAAUCUCUGAAACUCUGCUAUCCAAUCAGGAUGUCAAGUAUGCUCUACUGAAGCCAUCCCCUCUGCUCUCCAUAUUCCCUGGUCUUAUCCAGCACAUACCUCCCUCAGGGUCUUCAACCCAGAAAAGAGAAACCAGAGCCCUGCCUCCCUUCAACACUGCUGUUUGGCAUAUCCCUGCACCAUGUUGGAAAUGCUCUGCUCAGGGCUUCUUCUAGGCUCUAGCGUCUAGAGUCUCACAGGCCCACCCACCUGGGGAAUCAGGUCACUUGCCGCUAGCACUGAUGUUUUCUACAUACAUGUGUCAACCCGAACGUUUCUAAACUGUCACUGUCAUAUCAAGUGUUGGAAUUGAUUAAAACCCUAGUGCCUGCUCUACUGUCUCCUAUCUGACUCCCUUUUACUUCUCUUCAUCUCUCAGGUUAGGCUCAGCUUAUUCUUCCACGAAAGCAUCCAUCUGCUAGGAGAGCAGGUUCCUUAGCCUAGAAUUGCUGAAGGAAAUAUUUUCUCUACACUCAGGGUAGAAAAUAAAUGCUCACUGACUACCAGCUUUAGUUCUUAGUAUGCUAAUGCAAUCUCUACACAGAGCCUAGAUUUUAAGGCAGUCUUGUUGCAAAUCCUCUUCUAGGUACUAGCUGGUAACUAUUAAUGUCUUCUCUUUGUAUUCUCAUGAUAGCAGUCCUAAACUCCAUCCCAGGCCCUAUCUCCUCCUUAUCCUCAUCUCCAGUAAGAUGGAGAGUUCCAUCUGAAUAAGAAGAUUAAGCCAUGAAAAUGCAAAAGAGAAAGGGAUAUUAAUGUACUUCAAAUAUUAUUCCUCUUAAUUAAAAUAGGUGAGACAAUGAGAAACAUCUCCAUGCCAGGAGUGCGCAAGAGCUGUCUGCAAAAAGAUGUCUGUGGCCCCGGAAAGAGUUGCAGCCCAGUAAAUCUCCUGAGAGGAUCAUGGCUUUUAUAACACUAUAAAAAAGGAGAAUUCCACUGAGGGCAGCAAAAGGGCAGUAAAAAAAAGAGUUCAAGGUGAUUGUUAUGCUCCCCUUUUAAGGAUGUUUAUCUCUGCUGCUUCCACU